rnacentral:lncRNA from 1 species
UAGCUUCUCCUAACUGAGCAAUAUUAGGGAAACCGAACUCAGCUGAAGGACGUGGCUCUCUACGAGGCGGCAUAGUUCUGACAGAAGACAUCAAAAUAAUUAAAAUAUUCACAACAUAUGCAUGACUGUUAAAACUAGGCUCUGAUACCAAAUUGACACACCCCGACCUAAAAUCAAGGCGUGAUGGCUGUCACGUGAAAGUAACGUAAUCAUGUGCGCAGUGCAGAAGCAUAAUGAUAUAAAGAAAUGCGAAUAAAUAAAAACCAAACUGACUAAAACACUAGAUAAGAUAAGGUGAAAGAUAAGAAUAAGUGUGACUACACAUAACCAGAGCGUAGGUAUCCUAAGUGCAGUCCAGCAGGACAAAUACUAAUUAUACAAUACCAAAUAUGGUCCUACAUUUGUGAUGAUCUGUCAUAAUCACCGUUAAUUCCUCGUGAGCCACCAACGAGCACUCCUACCUA